CAAGCUUGUCUUCUCCGGUCAUUUCUUCAACAUAUUCCUUAAUAUUGAAGAUCGACUCUUUAAGCUGACGGCUGAACCAUACUUUGAUAAGCUCUAAUGACGCAAUAUCUCCAAAACUGUCUGGGAUCUCCAUAAGCUUAUCAUAUGUAGUUAUAUCUAACAUCUCGAGCACGGGAAAUGAUUUCUCUGCAUCAACCUGCCAUUCAGAAAAUCUCACACCAUCCAAUUUUAGAGAUUUGAGAUUCUGGAAGGUGACAUCUUCCAUGUUCCAUUCUUUCCCCUCCUCGAUGAUUGUGUCUUCUAGAAUUAGUUCUUGAAGGUUGGGUAGCCUAGCAAUUCUUGAAAGUGUAUCGGAUGUCAGAGAGAGCCACUGCAACCUCAUUUUCUUCAAGCUCAAAGGGAAGCCAUGUGUAUAUUCACUGAAUGAACCACAAGAAGCAGAUAAAUGGAGUUUUUCAAGUUCGUUAAGGACAUCCAAUCUUGGAAAACAAAUCUUCUCUGCUGAACAAUCUGGUAGUUGUCCGAUAUAGACUUCAAGGUUUUGAAGAUUAGGAAACCUUUUGAAAAUAAUAUCCUCCGUGUCUUCUAAACCGGGAAGGUGGAGUUUAGAUAAUGUUCUCAAAUUUUCUAACCUUGAGUCCUCGUCUAACACAGUUGGUUCAAAGACAGCACCACGCUUCAUCCACACAUCUCGUAGCUUUGCAAGACUCCAAAAACAAGGCGAUAGUAUCAUGUAUGAUCCCUCCAAGUUAUCCACCAUCAGAGUUUCUAGAUUGCAGAGGUUUGAAAAUGACGGCGGGAGAGCUUUUGCCUUCGUCUGAAUGAUUAAGUACUUCAAAUGAACGAGCAUACCAAUUUCAUUCAGCAAAGAAUCUUUCAAUGUUAUGCCCUUCAAAUCCAAACUUUUGAGAAGCCUCAAGUGUUUUAGGUGACUCUUGUGGGGAAGAUAUAACAUACAGGCCUUCAGA